GGAGGAAUAUUGGGCAAUGGGCGCAAGCCUGACCCAGCAACGCCGCGUGAAGGAUGAAGGCCUUCGGGUCGUAAACUUCUUUUGAGGGAGACGAGAAAGGACGGUAUCCCUCGAAUCAGCCACGGCUAACUACGUGCCAGCAGCCGCGGUAAAACGUAGGUGGCGAGCGUUAUCCGGAUUCAUUGGGCGUAAAGAGCUUGUAGGUGGUUUCGUAAGUUGGACGUGAAAACUCCGGGCUUAACUUGGAGAGGCCGUUCAAUACUGCGGGACUGGAGGAUGUCAGAGGGGAGUGGAAUUCCUGGUGUAGCAGUGAAAUGCGUAGAUAUCAGGAGGAACACCCGUGGCGAAGGCGGCUCCCUGGGGCAUCCCUGACACUGAGAAGCGAAAGCUAGGGGAGCGAACGGG
rnacentral:rRNA from 1 species